AUUGAACGCUGGCGGCAGGCCUAACACAUGCAAGUCGAACGAGUGGCGGCCGGGUGAGUAAAGCCUGGGAAACUGCCUGACGGAGGGGGAUAACUACUGGAAACGGUAGCUAAUACCGCAAACCAUCGGAUGCGCCCAGCUGGGAUUAGCUAGUAGGUGGGGUAACGGCUCACCUAGGCGACGAUCCCUAGCUGGUCUGAGAGGAUGACCAGCCACACUGGAACUGAGACACGGUCCAGACUCCUACGGUAGGCAGCAGUGGGAAAUAUUGCACAAUGGGCUCAAGCCUGAUGCAGCCAUGCCGCGUGAAUGAAGAAGGCCUUCGGGUUGUAAAGUUCUUUCGGUAGCGAGGCGUUAACUACAGAAGAAGCACCGGCUAACUCCGUGCCAGCAGCCGCGGUAAUAC
rnacentral:rRNA from 1 species